rnacentral:rRNA from 1 species
GACGAACGCUGGCGGCGUGCUUAACACAUGCGAGUCGAACGGAAAGGCCCUGCUUUUGUGGGGUGCUCGAGUGGCGAACGGGUGAGUAACACGUGAGUAACCUGCCCUUGACUUUGGGAUAACUUCAGGAAACUGGGGCUAAUACCGGAUAGGAGCUCCUGCUGCAUGGUGGGGGUUGGAAAAUUUCGGCGGUUGGGGAUGGACUCGCGGCUUAUCAGCUUGUUGGUGGGGUAGUGGCUUACCAAGGCUUUGACGGGUAGCCGGCCUGAGAGGGUGACCGGCCACAUUGGGACUGAGAUACGGCCCAGACUCCUACGGGAGGCAGCAGUGGGGAAUAUUGCACAAUGGGCGGAAGCCUGAUGCAGCAACGCCGCGUGCGGGAUGACGGCCUUCGGGUUGUAAACCGCUUUCGCCUGUGACGAAGCGUGAGUGACGGUAAUGGGUAAAGAAGCACCGGCUAACUACGUG